rnacentral:lncRNA from 1 species
CGUGUGCUACUAUGAAACCAUGCGUAUUACUGUAUUUUAACCACCGGGUAUUCCAACAGUGUUAACGGUAACAACUACGUCCUUAUUUAUAAAAACUCAAACUUGUCAUUUUCUUCAUCUGACAGUUAUUCUAUUAUGGGGCCCACAAAUGACUGUGCCAUUGUACGAAUAUUCCCCGACAACAAGAAUAUUCCACGACCAAACGAAUAUUCCCCAACAGAAAUGAGUAUUUUAUAACCACUUGCGUAUUUUGAAAAUUUUACAUAUAUCACCCUUAACUUUAAAAUUUUAUCAAUUUAACCAUUUACUGAAUAAUAAUUAUAAGAAAAAUUGAAUACUUUUAUUUCAUAAAAUUCGGGGUCUUACAGUUCUUCUCAAUUUUAGAGUACAAGUCUGCACUAAAGAAAGUUUGGUUUGGAUAAGCUUUAAGGGUAAUUUAGAAUUUAACGAUCAUCAACUAAAGGAUUAGUUGAAUCAACAAAGUUCAAUAACACUACGAGUGAUCAAUAACAAUAUAAUGUAGAAUAAUUUAUGAAUCAUUGGUGAACCAACACUAUAUAUCGAACUCAUGCUUAGAAAUAAACUAAAAAAUAUAAGCAUUAAAUAAAACAAUAAAUCUUGCUUGAAAAAUAUUAAGCUAAGGUUAUGAUCUUGUCAAAUAAGAAAUUAAAUUACUGAACAUGUAUUAACAGAUAACAAGCUGAAAAUAAAAACUUGCUCAAUAUGACAAUAAGAUUACAACUUGUACAAAGUAAAUGAAAUAAGACAACUCAACAUUAGAGAUUAGAGUUCAAGAAGUUGCAUUUAUUAUAAAAAGAAUAAAACUAAAGAAACUUGCUUAACUAUAAACAAGUUAGAAUAAAUCAACAACGAUUAGAAUUCAAAACUUGCUUGAAUAAAGUUAGGGUUAAAGCUUGCUCAAAUAAACUUUAGGAACAAAUAACUUGCUCAAUCAAAGUUUAGGGUAAGGAACUUGCCUCGUGCGUAAGCUAUAAAUUACAACUCACGUUCACCUACACAUAUUAUUAGAAUCACAAUAUUUAUUAGAUAUACUAACAUUCACUUUCCAAAAUAGAACUCACUUUUAGAUAAACUUGUUACUUUAAUACAAGUUUUAAUUCACACCAUAUACACUUCAGAAAUCUCAGGUAUUAGAUUUAAAACAUUUAUUUACUAAUUCACGUGUUCAAUAAAUCAUAACAUAUCGCUUUCAUAACUUACUAAUCUUUAUACAACUUUGAAAUUACUAACGACAUGGUACAAAUCUAUUUUAGUCUCUUCAUUACAUGUUCAUCACAUUAAUAUCUCAUUAAACCUUGACACCAACGCAACUACGCUGGUGCGCAGACAGAAACUACACAGUCUAUUUUAAACACUCUGUUUAGCCCAACUAUCACAAAUUUUAUACACAAAAUAGUAAUUUAAGCAUACCCAAAUGUUAUAAAACUCAUAUAAACAUUGUUCCUCACAUAUAUACCAACUUAGAACAAUUAAACAACAACUUCAAUCAAUUUAAAUCCUUAAAUUCCAUGUUUUUGUACAAAAACUCCAUUUUUUGACAUCCUUCACAAAAGUUAACACUGAGGUAAUAAUUCUACACUAAAUUAACUCAUUCAAAUUACGUUCUCUUCGUUUCUUACUAAAUUAACAUAUUCAAGGCUCAAUUUACAGAUUAAUUCACAAUCUAACUACCAAUUUUUGUACUUUCACAAGCCACAUGCACUGUAAACAAUUUUCUUUCUUUUGAACGUAGUUAGCACACCAAUUGCUUGUCUAGAUGCUAAUUCUAACAUCACAAAUACACACAAACACAAUUAACACUUUAUACAACAACAAUUCAUCCAAUUUGAAUUCACAGAAAAUGAAAAACUCGUGAACAAAGAACAUUCAUGUAUGUAAUAUUAAGGUUUUGGAAGUAUACCUUUAAUUGCUUGGUAAUCCUUGCUAAAACACAAAGAAUUGCUUUGGAAUUCUCAGGAAUCUUUCUCUCAAACUCUCCCUCUAAUUCUCUGUAUACUCCCUUCUAUUUUCUUCUUAGUAUCAGUAUAAGUCAAUUUCUUUUACAUAAAAUAAACUAAGACCAACGCAUAAAAACCAAACGUCUAAAACCGGCGUUUUAAUAAUGAUACUAAUAAAUUAUCAGUUAU